UACGUAGGGUGCAAGCGUUGUCCGGAAUUAUUGGGCGUAAAGAGCUCGUAGGCGGUCUGUCACGUCGGUUGUGAAAGCCCGGGGCUUAACCCCGGGUCUGCAGUCGAUACGGGCUAGCUAGAGUGUGGUAGGGGAGAUCGGAAUUCCUGGUGUAGCGGUGAAAUGCGCAGAUAUCAGGAGGAACACCGGCGGCGAAGGCGGAUCUCUGGGCCAUUACUGACGCUGAGGAGCGAAAGCGUGGGGAGCGAACAGG
rnacentral:rRNA from 1 species